UCUUCUUCCUCCUCACUUUCUUCCCCAGCUGAAAAGAAAACCUGAGUGGGCCAGUUCUGCUCCUCCAGUAUUUAAACACCUCACCAGGUCCCUAGUUAGCAGCUUCCUUCAGCUCAUCCAAGAAGCUGACAAGUACUGUUAGAGGAGGCUGUACAUGUUGCUCUAAUGGACCUCAUUAAGUUCUACUUACAGAUGUUCUCUUAACAUAAUUGAUCUGCGAUGAAAACUUUAAGGAACAAUGAAGGAGAGAGGUACUGCUCUGAAACGGAUUGAAAUGUGGAGCUGCAGCGAGCUGUUUGCCAGAGAUUUGAAAGCUACAGUAGAAAAAGCCCAAGGCCAUCAGACAAACAAAAAAGUUUGGGAGAGAGCACAUCCUGAAUUUGAUAACACCUCCCAUCCCCUGCAAUUGGCGGGUCCCUUGCCUCUCCCUCUCCUGCCUGGAGCUCCUGUCCCAGCGUAGCACGCAUGGCACUGGUUGCACGCUGAGCAACGAGGCUCAUUUCCAGCUCUCACACUGCAUUCCUCAGUGCAGCACUCAGGGCCCUUUUGCAGGGACCCUGCCCUCCUCCCAGUCACCCACAAGGAACCACUUCAAGCGGGGAGGACUCGGGGAAAGAUUUGGUUGCCAAAUGGUUUGUUUUCGCCGUUACGUCGGAUAAGGGAGACAGGCAAGAUAGCAGGGAUGCAUCCAGGGAAGGCUGUUGUCAGUUAAAAAAAAAAAAUAAAUAAAAGCGCAGACCCUUCGGAGUUGAUGAUGUGCCUAAUCCUUCAACUUCAAGUGGGCCUGCUUGAGGAAGCCAGGGUGACAGCUCAGCCCCAGCGCUUGACGAGCGAGUGACAUCACUGGGAUUUUGAGUUGUGAAAGCGCCGUCGUAGGCAGCAGCUGUAUUGAUUUUGGGGUCCAAUCCUACUUGUCCCGAGGUAAGCGAUCCCAGUGAGGUCAGUGGGACUGGUUUUCCAAAUGAGAAUUACUCACACGAGCAAGGGUUGCGAGGCAGCAACGUUAAAUCAAUACAGCAGUGGCAUUUCCUCGUGCUGGCUACUGAGCCAAUGGAUUCCACACACACCUCUCGCCCUCGCUCUGCCAAGGAAGGGCUAUGGAAAGGAGCCACUCACAGGCACAAGCAGUUGUGAAAGCAAGCCUUUUUUUAUGAAAAAGUGCACCCAUGUAAAACUAGCUCUUGUGCUUGUAACAGAUUAUACAGAACACUGAGUGAUAAAUAGAGUCAUGUAUCUUGUAUCAGACUCCAGACUGCAGCGCAGGAGUCACUGAAGAGCAUUAUCGGAAGUAGAGCAAGAUCGUUUAGAGGUUGAAGAAUUAAAAUUUAAAAAAAAAAAAAUAAAGGAAAGAUAAUCCAUU